GUAUGCCCCUCAAUCUGUCGCAGCUGGUGGGGCGGUGGCCUCGCAGGGGUCGCGACGGUGGUCUCUGCUCUAAGUUUGAUGGAGAUGGGUAUAUAUAUUGACUUCAUUAUUCUAAAAACUUAUUUAAUGAGUAUAUAUAUUGACGUCUUCAACAAGAAGAAUACUUUGGAGCUCCCAAAUUCAUGAAGAUUGAAGACCUGAAAGGGCAUUUUGGAUUACUCGCGGUGAUCAUGCAAAUUCUGAGAGCAAAGCUCAAAGUAUUAGAUCUUUCGUAUGGAAAUGGAACAGGUAUAAUUAAGCACAACUCUACUACACA